GAUGAACGCUAGCGACAGGCCUAACACAUGCAAGUCGAGGGGCAGCACAGAAACAGCAAUGUUUUGGUGGCGACCGGCGGACGGGUGCGUAACGCGUAUGCAACCUACCUUUAACAGGGGGAUAACGGAGAGAAAUUUUCACUAAUACCCCAUAACAUCGAUCAAGGCAUCUUGAUUGGUUGAAAACUCCGGUGGUUAAAGAUGGGCAUGCGUUGUAUUAGGUAGUUGGUGAGGUAAUGGCUCACCAAGCCUACGAUACAUAGGGGGACUGGUAGGUUAGCCCCCCACACUGGUACUGAGACUCGGACCAGACUCCUACGGGAGGCAGCAGUGAGGAAUAUUGGUCAAUGGGGGCAACCCUGAACCAGCCAUGCCGCGUGCAGGAAGACGGCUCUAUGAGUUGUAAACUGCUUUUAAACAGGGAUAAAGCACAGUAUGUAUACUGUGUUGAAGGUACUGUAAGAAUAAGGAUCGGCUAACUCCGUGCCAGCCGCCGCAGUAA
rnacentral:rRNA from 1 species